rnacentral:rRNA from 1 species
UACCCGCAGCACAAGUGGUGGUCAUUAUUAUUGGGCCUAAAGCGUCCGUAGCUGGCUUGUUAGAUGCCUGGGUAAAUCGAUGCGCUUAACGCAUCGAAUUCCGGGUAGACCGGCAAGCUCGAGACCGGGAGAGGUGUAGGCUACUCGAGGGGUAGGGGUAAAAUCCUGUAAUCCUUCGGGGAGGACCAGUGGCGAAGGCGCUACACUAGAACGGCUCUGACAGUGAGGGACGAAGCCCUGGGGCGCAACCAGG